rnacentral:tRNA from 1 species
GGGCCUGCUGGCCGACCUGGCCGGGUGGCGCGUCGUCCUCGGUGCGACGGCGGCCGGCUGCGCGGUGCUGUUCGUCGCGCUGCGGGCGCU